UGAGCCUGGAUGUCUGAGGAUCCCUGCC
rnacentral:piRNA from 1 species